rnacentral:sRNA from 1 species
UUUUUAAGUUUUAAACAUCACCCAUACUCGACCAAUGCACUCGAUCUCUAGGCACUCGGUAGAGUAAAAGUUUUAAAUUUUUACUCUACCUUCACGUUAUUCCUCUAUUCCUGAGAACCACAAACAUAACUAAAACAAAUAAAAAAUAACAAGAAAGUAAAAAUUAUUUACAAGGAUAAUCAUGGGACUUCCUCCCAAGUGAGCUUGUUUAAAGUCUCUAGCUUGACUCCUCACACUUAUCAAGAGGAGAAAGCACUAUAGAGAGGGUCUGCAUAAUCCUCUCUGAUACCAUCAUCAUACUCAGCGUCCUCCUUGGAGAGGUCUGCGGCAGAAUACUCAAUUACCUUCUCUUCAAAAUAUGCUUCUUUCUCUUCUGGAGGGUAAUCUGUCUCUUUAGACCAUAUUGAAGUGAACUUUUUUCUCGGGACAGUGUCAAUCCCGUCUUUAGGUUGAGCUUCCUUCUACAACUGAUUUAGCUUACUUCUAAGUUCCUCAACAGUGUGGGCUAGCUUCUCUAUAGUUUUAUCUUGCUUAUCAGACUUCUUUUUAAGUUCUUUCACUCUUUCAGUCUCAUAUCCUUCUCUUGAGAUCACUCUAUCAUUUCCAGAGGUUCUUCCAUCUUCUGUUGACCCUUGUGGAGUUUUGUUGAUGCCAAACUGCAACUUGAUAUGCUUUCCAAGGUUGAGACUUAUUUUCCCUUCCCUGACAUCUAUCACUGCUCCUACUGAAGCUAACAAGGGUCUUCCCAGUAUUAAGGGAUCCUUAUGCUCUACUUCCAUAUCCAGCACCACGAAGUCUGUAGGCACUUCUACUCCAUUAAUCAUGACUGGUAGAUCUUUCAGCAUGCCGAAGGGUUUUCUAAAAGACCUAUCCGCAAGGAUCAAAGUCAGGUCACAAGGUUUAUACUGAAUGAACUCUAACCUUCUUGCCACAGAGAGUGGCAUUAAGCUGACAGAGGCUCCGAGAUCGCACAGGCAAUCGCUAAAAGCUAAUUCCCCAAUGGAACAUGGUAGAGUGAAAGAUCCAGGAUCUUCUAACUUCUCUUGAACAAUCCUCUUAUCAGAAGCUCGAGAUGGAGUGGCAUCACUUUCAUCAUCUGAAUCGUGAUACAUCUUGAUCCUUUCCAGUAUCAAAUUUCUCACAUCUUUGUGAGGAUCAGGAAUCAGGUUGAGAACUUCAAUCAGUGGCAUCACUGCUUCAAUCUCGUCCAGCUGCUUCGAUGCAACAGACUUGUAUUUCUCCAUCCACGCUUUCCUGAAUGUCCACGGAAGAGCACUUGAGGGCAGUGGAGUAGGUUUGAAUCGUUUUACCAUUCUCUCGAUUAUGGCGGCCUUCUCUUCCGAGGUGGACUAAAUGAGAUGGCGAGAACCAGCAAAAUGGUUGAAUUCAUCUAAACAUUGCAUAGAGCAAUAGGUCGAUAAUCUGAGACUUUCUUCGGAGCUCUCACUUUUGGGAUUAUCAACAGAGACUUCAACCUGAGUAGAAGCCUCCCCGUCUUGAACAUCACUGUCCCCAGUGAUGAAAUCAGGGACAUGUCGAGUUGGCAGCUCUCGAUCAUGGCAGAUGGUGAUGGCGUGUGCAGUUGCAUACUCCUUUGGAUUUUGUAUUGACUUCCCAGGAAGUCCUGUAACUUUAGGUGUAGAGGUAGAUGCUGAUUGGCCUUCCAAAUAUCUGACUUUGGUGUUCAAUGCCUCCACUUUGGCAUUCAUGUCAUUGUAGCUGCAGUCCAGCUUAUGGUGUAAUUCAGAUAACUUCUUAGCAAUUUCCAUUGAGCUAGAUGCUUGUACCUCUAGCAGCUGUUGUACCAUCUGUUUCAUUUCAGCAUCAGGAGCAGCAGGACCUUGGUUUUGCUGAGUUGUAAACCCAGGUGGUGGUGGCGGCUGGUAGUUCCCCUGGAAUUGCUGCUUAGGAACGAAACCUUGGUUGUAGGGAACAAAGGGUUUGUUCUGACCUUGUUGUUGUUGUGGAGGAUUAGCAACGUUGGUGCUGCGGUAGGAGAGGUUGGGGUUGUUGGUUUUGAAGUUGUUGUAUCCUUUGUAGCCACCCUGGUUGUUGAUGAUGUAGCUGACUUCUUCCAACUGGUUACCCUCCCCAUAUUGGACUUGAAACUGCUUGUCAUCAACAAGGAAGUGCACAUGCUUCUGCUGGCUAAGAAGAAUCAUGUCCAGCUUGUCAUUCAGCGCUUUGAUCUCAUUCCUGUGUUUGUCAUCAGAGUUAGUUGUUCCUCUGACCUAUCACAGUCCUCGUUGUAAUUGCCAUCUGAUUGAGCAAGGUUCUCAACCAAUUCCCAGCCUUCUUCAACAUCCUUGUUUUGGAAAUUUCCAUUGCUGGAGGUAUCCAGAAGCAUUCUGAUGCGUAGUAGGACUCCUCUGUAAAGAGUGCUGAGCAGAGAGGCUUUAGUAAAGCCAUGAUGAGGGCAUUGGUUGGUGUAACCCUUGAAACGCUCCCAUGCUUCACAGAAGCUUUCACGAGUCUUCUGUGAGAAACCAGAAAUCUCAUUUCUGAGUCUUGCAGUUCUGGCAUUGGAGAAGAACUUUGAUAGAAAAGCCUUCUUACAAUCAUCCCAGGUGGUGAUUGAGUCAUGGGGCAGAUUCUUCUCCCAGAUGUGUGCUUUGUCGCCCAAGGAGAAUGGAAACAAACGGAGCUUGAAUCCGUCUUCACUGACACCAUUGAUUUUUGUCAGGUUGUAGAGCCUAUCGAAUUCAUCAAGGUGGUCGAGUGGAUCCUCCAUUGGCAGACCAUGGAAUUUGUUCCCCUGAAUCAUCGAGAUGAGACCACUCUUAAUCUCAAAGUUGUUGUUCUGGAUAGCAGGAGGUGCAAUUCCUUUCCUCUGACGGUGAUCACGUGGUGCAUCUCCAACACCAAUGUUGGCAGGGCCAUUUUGUUGAUUCUGUUUGUCAGCCUUUUCGAGUGGUUGCUGAGGUACAAGGUUGACAGUGUUUCUCCUUUCUCUGAGUUCGCGAGCUAUGCGAUCGAUUUUGCGUUGAAAAGGAGGUUCUGAUUGCCUGUUGAUCGAGUUCGCAUACAGCAGAGGUGUACCUGGAUCAAGAAGACAACAAGAAAAACACACAGUUAGCAACCGAUUUGAAAAUUGAAAAAGAACUUGAUCUAAGCAAGUCUGAAAUCUCAAAUGUAACAAACAAACACCCAAUUGGCAACGGCGCCAAAUUGAUAAUAGGUUUUAAGAUCAACUAAUCCUAAAGCACUAUCAUGUCGUUGUAGUACUGAAGGUGUAUCUCCAAAUGGGUGUGAUGCUAACAAUCAAGAUGUGAUCAGAAGUCACUAAGUCAAGCCAAGCAAUAACAGGUUGUGGUGUGUUCUAGCAGUUCUAAGUGAACAUGCAGAAAACAGAAAUUCAAGCAGAAACAGUAAAACACUCGACCAACACAGCUCUUUGCAGAGCACUAGGUGAGGUCGAGUGACAGGUUGAGUAACAGACAUAAAAUAAAACACAGAUACUCGAUUGCACAGUCUCUUGCCAGACAACUGGGUGGUCGAGUAUGAGGUCGAGUAACAAGAAAGAACUGUAGAAACUAAGCGACAGAUAACAAGAUGCAGUAAACAACAAUAGAGUAAACAAAGAAUUCAAUCAGAUAAAGAAUUCCCGAGGAUGGGGUAAUUGAGUAGUUUCGUUUCCUCAGUUUACAGGUGAUUGGCAUGCUCAAUAAAUUAACCCUAGACAAUAAGUUCAUUAACCAAAUCUAAGUGCCACCGCAACAGAGACCCUCAAGUUAACCUAGUCCCAGACUCAAUCACCAUUAACGAGAGCUAACCUAACAUGCAUUACGAAUCAACAAGUUAAAGCCAAAACGCUCCCUACAACCAAUACCUUGGUACAGGGUCACGAAUCUCUGGAAUUAGUGGUUCAGACAUUUCAUCGAACACCUUUUGCGCACAGAAAUGUCUGGGCUCAAAUUCCAGUUGAUCAGAAAGCAAUAGGCAUUAAGAACAACUAAUCCAGAAGGGAUCUAUCAAUCAAUACUCAAUCACCUAGCAUUACACUACUCUAACCCAUCCUCAGAAACCUAUUCACUACUCAGACAUCAUAACAAAAAGCAUAAACGUUGAACAUGUUGAAAACAUGAUAACAAUAGUGUAACAGCAGGAUGAUAACAGAAUAAACAACAGCAAACAAAAUCAAGAACAAAAACUGAAUACUGAAUACUGAAUAGAUAAAGAGAAAUUCGGAUUACAAAAGGUCUAGAAUACAAAGUCUGCGGAAUAAAACUAGAUAAAAACUUGUUUGCGAAAAUGUGAAGUACAUGCUACUUAUAGCCAAAUAUUCCGAAACCCUAAUACUUAAAACGACGAAGUAUUGGGACAAAUUAAGAACUAUACUCGACCCAAACAAGGAAAAUGAGAACUCUAAAAGCCCUACUCAAUCAUUGAUAAACCAACAUGUAACAAAUUUAAGAACUAAAAUGCAAUCAACAGGUGACACAAAUAACAGGUAAAUAAAAAUGCAAUCAGGGGGUAAAUACAAAUAAAUCUAAGAAGAAUAGAAGUCCUAAGGAUGGAUUCAUUGAUAAGGGCAACUCUAAGGUUCAUCAGAUGGCUAACAGGUGAAAGGCAUAAACCCUAGACGAUAGAUUCAAAAACUGGUUCAAUCCACUCUCGUGAUAGAGACCCCAUAACCCUACCACUUCCUAAUCUCAACUCUCGUUGAUGAAACAUAGCAGAGCAGGGUUUAAGCAACAAUCUAGCAAAGCCAAUAAAUAGACUAGCCAAUCUCUUGGUCAAGUCUACAAAUCUCUAGAAUUCGUAGAUCAGACAUCCAUUUGAACGUCUUUUUGACGUUGGACGUCUAUGGUCAAAUUUCCACAUUAGCAAGCGAAAACCGCAUAGGGGCCAACGAAUCCAGAAGGGAUCUAACCUAAUCUUGACCACCUGACUAACCUAGAGAUUACCCUAAUCUAAUUCAUCCCCAAGAACCCUAAUCACUACUCAAGCAACAUAACUUAGAACACAAACCCAGAAAUUACUGAAAUCAUACCAACCUGUAGAUCUAAACAAGCUAAACAUCUUUACUAAAAGAACUAAAUGCAAAAACGAAAUAGAUUAA